CACCCCCGGAACCAUGCUGCAGCCAUGAGCCCAGAGAACAAAAGAUGUGAAGCUGACUUUCACAACUCUCAUCAGCUCACAGCCUCCCAGAACUCUCUGCAAAUGAAUGAUUACUUUGUUCAGUGUAAGGAGGAGGAACAGUUGGGGGUUUUGUUUCUUAUUUCAUCCUUGAGCAGUUCUGAAAUUCAGGAUGAGCUACAGGGAGGGUGAAGGCUAUCGUGUGCUUCCACGUGCUGCUGCUCAUGGAAAAUCGGGGUGGCAUAAUAUAAUCAGAGGAAAGCACCACCCACUUCCGCACAUCACUGUGAGAGGGCCACAGCCACCGAUGACUGUGGCAUCAUUGGGAUUUGAACUCGUGAUCAUAGGGUGAACAUUUUUCUGUUGUGUCACUUGGGAGUCUGUAUUGCUCAUAUUGCCUAGUGAGCUAGCAAGUUUUUUUCUCUGUUUUUGUAUGUUAGUUGUCAAUAAAUUUUGUUUGUCAAUACAAUUUUAUGUCAAAAAAUCAAUAAUUCCAUCCAAUGAGAUUUGUUCAAAUUUGCUUGUGAACUGACCUCUGCUACAAAACCUUAACUGGAGAGAUUCUACACUAUCUGUCAUUCAAUUUUGCUCAUAUCCUUAGGGUUUCCUUCAUCUUUCUCCCUAUCACAAUCAAUUUCUAAAUGAUCUCACCCAGCAGUAUGACAGAGAAAAUGAGCAAAGAAAGAGCAAUGAAUCUGCUCCCAAAAUAAAGUUUGGUUGAGGUCAAAUAUGGUUUUAUGAGUCACUCGCUUCAAUAUUAAUUGUUCCAAGUUCCAACCUUCCAGCUGAGACAUUAAAUUUCAUGUGAAGCUUUCAAAAAUUCUGCAGUUUUUGAAGUGUAUAUAUCACUCACUCUUCUCAAUGUCAUUACUGAUUCAGCUUCUAAAAGGCACAUAAAACUCUGCUGAACAGUGGAAUAUUUAUUGUGACAGGAUUGGGAUGAAAAAAGCCUUAAUUGUCAGUAAAAUUAAAAAGGUUUUUUGUAGUUUGAUAGGCCCCAGAAUAUGUAUUAGACUGUUAUUGCAUAUGCCAUAUUCACUGUUAGCUUAUUGUGAUGAAUGCUUGCCAAUUAACUACUAACAUGAAAAUGUGAAUCUGGGUAUAAUUGUUCCCGGCAAGUGUAUGAAAAUUGGCUAAAUAGACAGAAAUGUAAAAAUGAUUAAUGGUGCCAAUGGGAAGUGUGUGACUGUGGUGUGUGUGUGUGUGUGUGUGCAUAUAUAUGAGAGAGAGAUGCUUUCGUGAAUGCUUUCGAGAGAUGUGCACAUUUGUAAAUGCAAAAUAAUGACUCCAGCUGCAUUCUUAUUAGUCAUAUAUCUAAAUUGCAACUGGCAGUAGAUAAGGAGCUAUCUACACUACAAGGAUCUUACGAUGAGCCAAAAAUAUAUCAUAUAUAGCUCACAUCUUAUCGAGAACAAGAGCUAAAAACAUUUCUCUCAUUGUUCCACAUUUUCUAAUAUAAUGUGCAUCAUAUUGCUGGUUGAAUAUAUAACUGUGUUUCUAUGGACUCCAGAUGCAGGGUAGACUUCCUGGAGUGUAAAGCCUCAAAGUCAUGCCCUGGAGCUGGGGCUCCAGCUCACCUAUAGACCAUGGAAAAAAGAAAAAAAAACCUUAACUGAGAACUCUCAGAGAAGAAAUAUUUGAAUUUAUAUUGACAACUGUGUUUUUUGAUCAGCAGCUGAAAAUAUAAGAAUCAUUACAAAGCAUAGUGUGUGACUCUGUUGAAAUUCUGAUGAAAGAUGACCAUAGAGAUAUAGGUCUUUUAUAAUUUCGCUUUCUAAUGAGAACAGAAUUAUUUUGUCAAACUGAAGAUUCUAGAGAGCAGAAAUAAAUUCCUGUAGUGUACUGCUUGAGGAGCCUCUUAAAAUCAAUCAGUUGUCAAAAGUCUUGCAUCUCUACACUAACUAUCUUGACAUUUUCCAUCAUUUUGAAUGAUCAGGAAAAUAUGCCAAUUAGUGAUCUAAUCACGCCAUCUUCAGAACAGAAAGUCCUCCCUGAUACAUCCUACCGUUGCAUAACAUCAUGGGUAACUUACUACAAAUCUACUAAUUUUCUUCCUAGCAGCCAUAUACAAUACCUGUAUCAGAAUUGGUAUUACAUGAACCACACUAUAUAUUCAGAUAUUAUUGCAAUAAUUCAUCGCUAUCAUAAUAUGGAUAUUAGCAUCAUAGUGGAUCUCCUGCAAUACUUCAUACUACGUUUUUAUGUUUUCACUAAUAAGAGUUUAAUUUCAUCAAAGAAAAAAAUUAAAGGCUUUCUGUUUUUUUUUGUGUUAGAAAAUAACUGUAUCUAAAUGUACAGACUCAGACUGUUGGACCUGGAUCAUAAAUACCUGGGCAUUUUACAGGAGUCAUAUCCAAUAUGAAUAAAGUUUGCAUGGCAAAAACAAAGUCUGCUGACUUAAAUAGAAGAGGACAACGUGUUCAAAUGGGACUCAUUUCUGAU